AUGCCAUGGUGGGGGCAUUUCCUAAGCAACUCCUUAAACCUUUUAAAUGCCUCAUGGAACGCUUCCCCUGAAUGCUGUUGGAAGGCUCUGAUUGCAUCCCGAGCUU
rfam:Helianthus annuus linkage group 1, whole genome shotgun sequence.